UGUAAACCUCUUUUAGCAGGGAAGAAGCGAAAGUGACGGUACCUGCAGAAAAAGCGCCGGCUAACUACGUGCCAGCAGCCGCGGUAAUACGUAGGGUGCAAGCGUUAUCCGGAAUUAUUGGGCGUAAAGAGCUCGUAGGCGGUUUGUCGCGUCUGCUGUGAAAUCCCGAGGCUCAACCUCCAGCCUGCAGUGGGUACGGGCAGACUAGAGUGCGGUAGGGGAGAUUGGAAUUCCUGGUGUAGCGGUGGAAUGCGCAGAUAUCAGGAGGAACACCGAUGGCGAAGGCAGAUCUCUGGGCCGUAACUGACGCUGAGGAGCGAAAGGGUGGGGAGCAAACAGGCUUAGAUACCCUGGUAGUCCACCCCGUAAACGUUGGGAACUAGUUGUGGGGUCCAUUCCACGGAUUCCGUGACGCAGCUAACGCAUUAAGUUCCCCGCCUGGGGAGUACGGCCGCAAGGCUAAAACUCAAAGGAAUUGACGGGGACCCGCACAAGCGGCGGAGCAUGCGGAUUAAUUCGAUGCAACGCGAAGAACCUUACCAAGGCUUGACAUAUACGAGAACGGGCCAGAAAUGGUCAACUCUUUGGACACUCGUAAACAGGUGGUGCAUGGUUGUCGUCAGCUCGUGUCGUGAGAUGUUGGGUUAAGUCCCGCAACGAGCGCAACCCUCGUUCUAUGUUGCCAGCACGUAAUGGUGGGAACUCAUGGGAUACUGCCGGGGUCAACUCGGAGGAAGGUGGGGAUGACGUCAAAUCAUCAUGCCCCUUAUGUCUUGGGCUUCACGCAUGCUACAAUGGCCGGUACAAAGGGCUGCAAUACCGCGAGGUGGAGCGAAUCCCAAAAAGCCGGUCCCAGUUCGGAUUGAGGUCUGCAACUCGACCUCAUGAAGUCGGAGUCGCUAGUAAUCGCAGAUCAGCAACGCUGCGGUGAAUACGUUCCCGGGUCUUGUACACACC
rnacentral:rRNA from 1 species